GCUUUCGUCAUGGUUCAGUUGGUAGAGCAUUGUGCGAACAAAGCAAAGGUUGUGGGCUCAAAUCCCAGGGAAAGCC